GAACGUGCGAAACGUAAUGUGAAUUGCAGAAUUCAGUGAAUCAUCGAAUCUUUGAACGCAUCUUGCGCUCCUUGGUAUUCCGAGGAGCAUGCCUGUUUGAGUGUCGUGAAUACUCUCAACUUCCACCCUUUUUUCGGAAAGGGAGGAAGGUUGGACUUGGGUGUUUGUUGAAGUGCGAGCUUCGACUCAUCCUAAAUGCAUUAGCGAUCUGCCUCGAUCACACACAAUGUGAUAAUUAAAACUAAAGCAUUGUUUAAUGAUCAAGUCGAGACUGCUUCUAACCGUCACACAAGACAAUAACGUGCAUACAUUUGUGCAUGUCAUUUGACCUCAAAUCAGGUAGGACUACCCGCUGAACUUAA
rnacentral:misc_RNA from 1 species